rnacentral:rRNA from 1 species
UGGGAGCGAGCAGGAUUGAUACCCUGGUAGUCAUCCGUAAACCUUGGAACUGAUGUAGGCCUUUCACGGUUUUGUGUAGCUAACGCAUAAGUUCCCCGCCUGGGGAGUACGCCGCAAGGCUAAAACUCAAAGGAAUUGACGGGGGCCCGCACAAGCGGGGGGAGCAUGCGGAUUAAUUCGAUGCAACGCGAAGAACCUUACCAAGGCUUGACAUAUACCAGAACUCCCUGGAAACAGGGGACUCUUUGGACACUGGUAUACAGGUGGUGCAUGGUUGUCGUCAGCUCGUGUCGUGAGAUGUUCGGUUAAGUCCGGCAACGAGCGCAACCCUCGUCCUAUGUUGCCAGCGGGUCAUGCCGGGGACUCAUGGGAUACUGCCGUGGUCAACACGGAGGAAGGUGGGGAUGACGUCAAAUCAUCAUGCCCCUUAUGUCUUGGGCUUCACGCAUGCUACAAUGGCCGGUACAGAGGGUUGCGAUACCGCGAGGUAGAGCGAAUCCCAAAAAGCCGGUCUCAGUUCGGAUUGGGGUCUGCAACUCGACCCCAUGAAGUCGGAGUCGCUAGUAAUCGCAGAUCAGCAACGCUGCGGUGAAUACGUUCCCGGGCCUUGUACACACCGCCCGUCAAGUCAUGAAAGUCGGUAACACCCGAAGCCGAUGGCCUAACCCUUGUGGAGGGAGUCGUCGAAGGUGGGACUGGUGAUUAGGACUAAGUCGUAACAAGGUAACCGUAA